CCUACGGGUGGCAGCAGUGAGGAAUAUUGGUCAAUGGGCGGGAGCCUGAACCAGCCAAGUCGCGUGAGGGAAGACGGUCCUACGGAUUGUAAACCUCUUUUGCCGGGGAGCAACGGGGUCCUUGCGAGGGCUCGAUGAGAGUACCCGGAGUAAAAGCAUCGGCUAACUCCGUGCCAGCAGCGGCGGUACUACGGGGGAUGCGAGGUUUAUCCGGAUUUAUUGGGUUUACAGGGUGCGUAGGCGGGCUGUUAAGUCAGCGGUAAAAUGUCGGGGCUCAACCCCGGCCUGCCGUUGAAACUGGCGGCCUCGAGUGGGCGAGAAGUAUGCGGAAUGCGUGGUGUAGCGGUGAAAUGCAUAGAGAUCACGCAGAACUCCGAUUGCGAAGGCAGCAUACCGGCGCCCGACUGACGCUGAGGCACGAAAGCGUGGGUAGCGAACAGGAUUAGAUACCCCAGUAGUC
rnacentral:rRNA from 1 species